rnacentral:rRNA from 1 species
UACGAAGGGGGCUAGCGUUGCUCGGAAUCAUUGGGCGUAAAGGGCGCGUAGGCGGACUCUUAAGUCAGGGGUGAAAGCCUGAGGCUCAACCUCAGAACUGCCUUUGAUACUGAGAGUCUCGAGACCGGUAGAGGUAAGUGGAACUGCGAGUGUAGAGGUGAAAUUCGCAGAUAUUCGCAAGAACACCAGUGGCGAAGGCGGCUUACUGGUCCGGUUCUGACGCUGAGGCGCGAAAGCGUGGGGAGCAAACAGG